rnacentral:rRNA from 1 species
UACAGAGGUCUCAAGCGUUGUUCGGAUUCAUUGGGCGUAAAGGGUGCGUAGGCGGUCUGUCGCGUCGAAUGUGAAAACCCGGGGCUCAACCCCGGGCCUGCAUUCGAUACGGGCAGACUAGAGUUCGGUAGGGGAGUCUGGAAUUCCUGGUGUAGCGGUGAAAUGCGCAGAUAUCAGGAGGAACACCGGUGGCGAAGGCGGGACUCUGGGCCGAUACUGACGCUGAGGAGCGAAAGCGUGGGGAGCAAACAGG